GAUGAACGCUGGCGGCGUGCCUAACACAUGCAAGUCGAGCGAAGCGAUUUUGAGGAAGUUUUCGGAUGGAAUUGAAAUUGACUUAGCGGCGGACGGGUGAGUAACACGUGGGUAAUCUGCCUUAUACAGGGGGAUAACAGUUAGAAAUGACUGCUAAUACCGCAUAAGCGCACGGGAACGCAUGUUUCUGUGUGAAAAACUCCGGUAGUAUAAGAUGAGCCCGCGUCUGAUUAGCUGGUUGGUGGGGUAACGGCCUACCAAGGCGACGAUCAGUAGCCGGCCUGAGAGGGUGAACGGCCACAUUGGGACUGAGACACGGACCAG
rnacentral:rRNA from 1 species